rnacentral:rRNA from 1 species
UACGGAGGGGGCUAGCGUUGUUCGGAAUUACUGGGCGUAAAGCGUGCGCAGGCGGUUUCUUAAGUCAGAUGUGAAAUCCCCGGGCUUAACCUGGGAACUGCAUUUGUGACUGCAUGGCUGGAGUGCGGCAGAGGGGGAUGGAAUUCCGCGUGUAGCAGUGAAAUGCGUAGAUAUGCGGAGGAACACCGAUGGCGAAGGCAAUCCCCUGGGCCUGCACUGACGCUCAUGCACGAAAGCGUGGGGAGCAAACAGG